rnacentral:misc_RNA from 1 species
GAUGAAGAACGUAGCGAAAUGCGAUAAGUAGUGUGAAUUGCAGAAUUCAGUGAAUCACCGAAUCUUUGAACGCACAUUGCGCCCCUUGGUAUUCCAUGGGGCAUGCCUGUUCGAGCGUCAUUUGUACCUUCAAGCUUUGCUUGGUGUUGGGUGUUUGUCUCGCCUUUGCGUGUAGACUCGCCUUAAAAUAAUUGGCAGCCGGCGUAUUGAUUUCGGAGCGCAGUACAUCUCGCGCUUUGCACUCAUAACGACAGCGUCCAAAAGUACAUUUUACACUCUUGACCUCGGAUCAGGUAGGGAUACCCGCUGAACUUAAGCAUAUCAAUAAGCGGAGGA